rnacentral:rRNA from 1 species
AGAGUUUGAUCCUGGCUCAGAACGAACGCUGGCGGCGUGCUUAACACAUGCAAGUCGAACGCGAAAAGGGACUUCGGUCCUGAGUAAAAGUGGCGCACGGGUGAGUAACGCGUGGAUAAUCUACCCAAUGAUCUGGGAUAACAUCUCGAAAGGGGUGCUAAUACUGGAUAAGACCACGGAGUCUCUGGAUUCUGCGGUAAAAGGUGGGGACCUUCGGGCCUACCGUCAUCGGAUGAGUCCGCGUACCAUUAGCUAGUUGGUGGGGUAAUGGCCUACCAAGGCUACGAUGGUUAGCUGGUCUGAGAGGAUGACCAGCCACACUGGAACUGAGACACGGUCCAGACUCCUACGGGAGGCAGCAGUGGGGAAUUUUGCGCAAUGGGGGAAACCCUGACGCAGCGACGCCGUGUGAGGGAAGAAGGCUCUCGGGUCGUAAACCUCUGUCGGGAAGGAAGAACCUCUCAGGGCUGAACAAGCCCUGGGGACUGACGGUACUUCCAAAGGAAGCACCGGCUAACUCCGUGCCAGCCGCCGCGGUAAUA